UACGAAGGUCCCGAGCGUUGUUCGGAAUCACUGGGCGUAAAGGGAGCGUAGGCGGCGUGGUAAGUCAGAUGUGAAAAUCCCGGGGCUCAACCCCGGAACUGCAUCCGAUACUGCCAUGCUAGAGGAUUGGAGAGGUAGCUGGAAUUCUUGGUGUAGCAGUGAAAUGCGUAGAGAUCAAGAGGAACACUCGUGGCGAAAGCGAGCUACUGGAACAAUUCCUGACGCUGAGGCUCGAAGGCUAGGGUAGCGAAAGGG
rnacentral:rRNA from 1 species